UUGAACGCUGGCGGCAUGCUUUACACCUGCAAGUCGAACGGUAACAGGCCUUCGGGUGCUGACGAGUGGCGAACGGGUGAGUAAUGCAUCGGAACGUACCCAGAGGUGGGGGAUAACGCAGCGAAAGCUGUGCUAAUACCGCAUGUGAUCUGAGGAUGAAAGCGGGGGACCGAGCAGCAAUGUUUGGCCUCGCGCCUUUGGAGCGGCCGAUGUCGGAUUAGCUAGUUGGUGGGGUAAAGGCCUACCAAGGCGGCGAUCCGUAGCUGGUCUGAGAGGACGACCAGCCACACUGGGACUGAGACACGGCCCAGACUCCUACGGGAGGCAGCAGUGGGGAAUUUUGGACAAUGGGCGCAAGCCUGAUCCAGCAAUGCCGCGUGCGGGAAGAAGGCCUUCGGGUUGUAAACCGCUUUUGGCAGGAACGAAACGGUGUCCGCUAAUACCGGGCGCUAAUGACGGUACCUGCAGAAUAAGCACCGGCUAACUACGUG
rnacentral:rRNA from 1 species